ACAGAAAAAAAAUUGGGGGGAACGGGCCUCGUUUGGGAGCUAGGCCUCCUCGAAGUUCCCAUAUAAGCCCCAUAUAAGAACACCUUUAAGUGGGUGUGUGUGGAUUUCUAUGGUAGAACAAAUUUUUAGAGUGGAAACGUGUCGAAAAAACUUUCAAAUUUGGACCCUUG